UCCGACGAGGCGGAUUUGAACCACCGACCUGAGGAUCUACAGUCCUCCGCUUUACCAGCUGAGCUAUCGUCGG
rnacentral:tRNA from 11 species